AUUGAACGCUGGCGGCAGGCUUAACACAUGCAAGUCGAGCGGCAGCACGGUCUAGCUUGCUAGAUUGGUGGCGAGUGGCGGACGGGUGAGUAACGCGUAGGAAUAUACCUUGAUGAGUGGGACAACUUGGGGAAACUCAAGCUAAUACCGCAUAAUCUCUUAGGAGGAAAGCUGGGGACCUUUGGGCCUGGCGCAUUAAGAAUAGCCUGCGUCCGAUUAGCUAGUUGGUGGGGUAAGGGCCUACCAAGGCGAUGAUCGGUAGCUGUUCGGAGAGGAAGAUCAGCCACACUGGAACUGAGAGACGGUCCAGACUCCUACGGGAGGCAGCAGUGGGGAAUAUUGGACAAUGGGGGGAACCCUGAUCCAGCAAUGCCGCGUGUGUGAAGAAGGCCUGAGGGUUGUAAAGCACUUUCAGUAGGGAGGAGAGGUAUUAGAUUAAGAGUCAGAUACUGAGACGUUACCUACAGAAGAAGCACCGGCUAACUCCGUGCCAGCAGCCGCGGUAA
rnacentral:rRNA from 1 species